UCCCUGCUCGCGCUCCCUGCAGCAGCAGCAGCAGCUUCCUCAGUGAGAGUUUGCCGAGUUAGCUAACAUGUUCCAGCGUGUAAUAUUUCACCAGCGAAAGGUUUCCGUUUUAGGUUAUUGCUGUUAAUAAUACGAGCAGAUAUCAGAUGAUGUUAUAAAAUCUUUUUUGGGGCUUUACAGGACCGCUUCACAUUACUGUCCUGAAGCUAAUCUUAGCUAGUUUUAGCUAGCUAGCGCAGUAAAGUAAAGUCUGCUUCCUUUGCUGAGGGAUAGGACGCAAUAUUACGGUAGAUUUAUAUUUUUUAUGUUAAAAAGUCAGCGUGCUUUGUGCUGAAAUGGUGCUUUCUUUGGUGAGGCUUUGUGCUAAGGAGGUGGUGAGUGACCACAGCUCAUCACCCUGCUGGCUGAGGUGGGUUCCCAGGGAGCUGUACAGACCGCUGCUGGAGGCCUCCUUCACCAGCUGUAGACCGCUGGCUGUGAACGAGCUGGUGCAGAGGUGGCCUGAACGCACCCUGCGUGUCGGCGGAAGGAGGAAACAGGGGCAAACUUCGCCAAAUCGACUCUGCAUCCAGGCUCUGCUACUUGCAGUAGUCAGAGGGCUCUCGGACCAAAGGUGUGCGCUGCAACUUCUUGACCUCUGUGGGCUGCAAGGAGAUGAAGGAGGGACGGGAGACCCCAUGGGAGGCUGGUCUCUGACUGUAGCUCUGUGCACCAUGGUGGUUCAGGCCAGAGCUGGAGCACAGAGGGCACAGAGGGAGAGGAAGAGGUUCUCAGCUCUGGAGAGAGAGAAGGAUGUGAAAAGAGAGAGGGGACAGCGGAAGAAGGGAAAGGAAACAAAUGUUGAGGGGAAUGACAGAGAGAGCAUGGGGUCAUGUGGGAUCCUGAGCGAAGAGGAGCUGGCUAAGGGUGUCAGGAGGAGGAUGGAGGCAGAGCGGAAAACAGGGACUGCAGUGACAGGUGUGGGAGGCAGUAGAAAGGAGACAGAUGAAAAAGAAGUAAAUAAUGAUGUGGUGGUGCAUGUGAGAGCUGAUCUUUUUGUAAACGCUCGAUCCUGGGAGCGUGUUCGCGGGGCUCUGAACACACAGGGGCCCCUCAAGCUUCAGUGCAGAUAUCUACGUGUGGAAGAGAUUUCAGUUUCUAGUAUCAAGACUCUGCUAGGCCUCCUGCCUCCGCAGGGUCUUCUGGGCAUUGAUGUCCGCUACAGCAGCCUUGGGGUGGCCGGUUUGGCUGAGCUGCUCCCUCUGCUCUCCACCUUCCCUGCACUGAACUCUCUUCGCCUGCACUACUGUAACUUGGAUUUUCGCAGAGACCACGCUGGCCAGGAAGAGACCCUGAGGGAGUUAUGUCAGGGGCUGACACAGCUGCGAGAACUGAGGCGCCUCAGCCUCACUGCGCUGCGCCUGCCUGGACAACUGCGUGUGUUGCUUAGCUCUCUGCCUCAGCCUCUAGAGAUACUGGAGCUGCCCUAUUUGAGCCUGAGCCCUGCCGACCUCGCCUAUCUGUCCUGCAGUCAUCAUGCUUCCACACUGCAGCAGCUGGAUCUAAGUGAGAACCGUCUGGAUGAGAACACCCUGACCUCCAUUCGCCGCCUCCUCUCCCAGGCUUCUACUAGCCUGCAGCACCUCUCCUUAAGUGGCUGUGGCCUGACUGAUAGCCUGCUGAGACUCUUGCUGGCCUCGCUGGGAGGCUGCAGGGCCCUCAAGAGCUUGGCUUUGGCCCUGAAUCCACUCUCCAUUGCUGGCCUCAUGGACCUGGUUAGGAUGGCUGUGAGAAUGCCCUCUCUCCGUCAGUUACUGUACCCCAACCCCCUGGAGGACUACCAGCCGGGCCUCCCUGACCUGCCCUCAAGUGCUCAGCUUUUAGACUGGCCGCUGGAUGAAGCCACAGACAUCAACAUUACCAGCAGCCAGCUCAACAGGGUGCUGAUAGACAGCGGGCGCUCUGACCUCUUUCUGACAUGCGACCUGCUCAAUUAUGAUAAAGACUUGGUGGACUAGGGCAGAAGUGAAGUGAAGGAUACAGGUGCUUUUUAGUUCCUUACCAGCAUACGCCCGCACAAUGUACAUACACCUGACAAUCAAAAUGUCACCCUAAUAACGGUCUAGUAUUACAUCUUUUUUAUCUUUUUUUUUGACACCAUCUAUCUCAUGUGAAGGUCUUAUAAGCCAGAGUUAACAGUGAUGGCGGGGUUAGGGGGAAGUCAGUGGGCCUUUCCCAUCUCUUGAUUUUGUGCCUCCUUGUCUCCUCCGACUUGUGACCUGAAAAAUUAUCUCAGCACUCCAUUUUGAAGUAUGUGCCAGGUCCUAAAAUGCAUCUAGAAGAGCGAGGAGGCUUGUCGAAGGACGGCACGACUUUUCGGCACCUGCAGUAUGUAUAAGGGACAUGAAGCACAGCUGAUGAUGCAGCCGUGCCACAUGUCAUAUUUAAUUGGUGUGGCUUUAAAAUAACGGCUUUGAAGCACUGCCUCAUUUUGUUACAUGCCUUUUUCCUUUGACUCCUCUCUCCUUUUGUCUCUUCCUUGCCUCCUCUGCUUGCAUCUCAGAUGUAAGACUAAGAUGCAAGGAGAGGAGGCGAGGAAAUAAUAGAGGAUGCAUGAAUUGAGAAAUGGGGAAGGCCUGUUGUAUCGCCAAAGCAAUAGGUUAUUGUUGUUGUGAGGUAAGGUUUGCUCCUCUGGGGAUGUUGGGAAUGCAGUAUUUAUUAUUUGUUGGCCAGACAAAAGGAGACAGAGGUGACCACAUACAAAAACCUUUACUCCUUAUUAUUUAGCCAUGCUUCAGUAAAACGGAAGUAUACUACUUUAAAUCGUUAACUUGUUGACUGAUUGAAAUUAAAUUCUUGCUUAUGCUGGUUUUGUACCAAACAUGACUUAAUGCUUUAUAAUCAGGUUAACAGGAUAGCUGGGAUACUAAGAUCCCUCUGGUUGGAGAUUACAGGCUGUCUGCCCUCGUACCUUUACAACCAUCAGCAGUAUUUUCUUUAUACAAGCCAUUCACUCAAAAUCAGUGUUUGGACAGCUAUUACAUACUACGCUUCGACAACCAAAACUACAACUUUGACAGUGGUUUCUUUUUAUAAUGUAACAGGAAAUGAAUGUAACAACAAAAUACUUAAAUGCAUACCAUCUAUUUGAUUGUUUUCCAUACAGUAAUGUACUUUGUCUUUGUGCUGAUCUAAUUUACAUAUUUGUCAUAUUGUAUUUCUUGAGCGUUUGUUUUGAAUUGUCCAGGACAUUUCUUGUAUUCACACAGCUUGUUUAUCAAAAAGUAUCACCGUCAUCAGGAAACGCGUGUACCAAAUCAACCUUGUACCACAUGAAUGCGUUUACAUACUGUGUUAAUGGCAGUGUUACAGACUAAGAGGCAUCAUCUGUAGUACUCUACGUACGACUGCUGCGGAAUGAAGUAGCGGCGAGGUGUGACCUUCACCCAGUCCUCGUCUGAGUAGAUGUGAAAGGGGAGAAGAGUGACCCGAGCAAACGGCAAAGAGAUGAAUUUGGGGCAGUGCAUGAGGAAGGGACGGUUUCUCAGUGGAGGCAGAAUUAAUCCUGUAUGCCAAGAAUCUGCUCUGUCAUGGAGGCUCUUCCAGAUGUUAGACUGGUCCUGCAGCUCCGAGUCCCAGCUCUCCAACUCUGGCCACAACCACUGCUCAACCUCAUUUACACCUAAUGCAGAAUCUUUAUAGGCUCAGGACAGACAUCCUCCAUUAAGGUUGGAAGAUUAUGAGGCUUGUCAUCAUUUGGUUCAGGAUAAACUGAGUUUAUCUCAAGUUUAUCUGGGUCAAAGGUGUCCUCCAAAUCAAUCUGAAAAC